GCGAACGGGUGAGUAACACGUGGGCAAUCUGCCCUGCACUCUGGGACAAGCCCUGGAAACGGGGUCUAAUACCGGAUACUGAUUGUCUUGGGCAUCCUUGAUGAUCGAAAGCUCCGGCGGUGCAGGAUGAGCCCGCGGCCUAUCAGCUUGUUGGUGAGGUAACGGCUCACCAAGGCGACGACGGGUAGCCGGCCUGAGAGGGCGACCGGCCACACUGGGACUGAGACACGGCCCAGACUCCUACGGGAGGCAGCAGUGGGGAAUAUUGCACAAUGGGCGCAAGCCUGAUGCAGCGACGCCGCGUGAGGGAUGACGGCCUUCGGGUUGUAAACCUCUUUCAGCAGGGAAGAAGCGAAAGUGACGGUACCUGCAGAAGAAGCGCCGGCUAACUACGUGCCAGCAGCCGCGGUAAUACGUAGGGCGCAAGCGUUGUCCGGAAUUAUUGGGCGUAAAGAGCUCGUAGGCGGCUUGUCGCGUCGGUUGUGAAAGCCCGGGGCUUAACCCCGGGUCUGCAGUCGAUACGGGCAGGCUAGAGUUCGGUAGGGGAGAUCGGAAUUCCU
rnacentral:rRNA from 1 species